GUUGCAUUACAUUACAUCGCGAGAUUUAACAACGCAUGUUGAUUGACUGGAGAUGGAUUGUGGAACAAGAGAUCAUGCAUGUCACUAAUCAAAUCAAACAACCAAUCACAGAUGCAGAGACAUCAGUCAAUGUCCCGCCCCCAAAGUCGCAAAAGUAAUCUCGAGCGAGCGAGCGCGUGUGGUGCAGCUGUGAGAGCAUAGAGAGAGUCGAGCAAGUGCUCAUCCAAACCCUUGCUCACGUGACUGCAUUUGUGCGCGCUGAGCGGAGGGGCGCUCUCGCGAGGAUGCUUUUUCCGCGUGCGAAUAGUUUUCUGCGCCAUUAAUCUCUCCCUCGCGCGUGGUUUUUGUGCGCGCGACUUUUGGGUCUGAUUAAACGCCACAGAAAGGUUUUAAGGAUUUAAGCAAUUUUGAGUGUGGUAUGGACUGAUUCAAGCUGACAGAAGAGCAACUGUGACUGAAAUAACCACUCGUUACAACCGAGGUAUGCAGCAAAGCAUUUGUGAAGCCACAACACGCACAACCUCGAGGUGGAUGGGCUACAACAGCAGUAGACCCCACCGGGUACUACUUAUCUCCACUACAAAUAUGAAAAAGAGGCUACAAUUUGCACGAGCUCACCAAAAUUGUUGAAAAAUGUUGCCUGGUCUGAUGAGUCUCUGUUGAGACAUUCAGAUGGUAGAGUCAGAAUUUGGCAUAAACAGAAGGAGAACAUGGAUUCAUCAUGCCUUGUUACCACUGUGCAGGCUGGUCGUGUAAUGGUGUGGGGGAUGUUUUCUUGGCACACUUUAGGCCCCUUAGUGCCAAUUGGGCAUCGUUUAAAUGCCACGGCCUACCUGAGCAUUGUUUCUGACCAUGUCCAUCCCUUUAUGACCACCAUGUAUCCAUCCUCUGAUGGCUACUUCCAGCAGGAUAAUGCACCAUGUCACAAAGCUUAAAUCAUUUCAAAUUGGUUUCUUGAACAUGACAAUGAGUUCACUGUACUAAAAUGGCCCCCACAGUCACCAGAUCUCAACCCAAUAGAGCAUCUUUGGGAUGUGGUGGAACGGGAGCUUCGUGCCCUGGAUAUGCAUCCCACAAAUCUCCAUCAACUGCAAGAUGCUAUCCUAUCAAUAUGGGUUAACAUUUUUAAAGAAUGCUUUCAGCACCUUGUUGAAUCAAUGCCACGUAGUAUUAAGGCAGUUCUGAAGGCAAAAGAGGGUCAAACACAGUAUAAGUAUGGUGUUCCUAAUCCUUUAGGUGGGUGUAUUUACUGCGAUGUUUGAAGUUAAAGCCUGAUAAGCAUUGCAUUUACCAUGCGUUUACCACAGUAACUGUAGAUUUAGUGUGUUAUUUUUAGUUAAAGCCUAGAAAACACAACCUGUAUCGUGCUGCUACCAUAGUAAAGUUAUUUCUGUUGUGGUACAUGUGCUUAAUGCAUAGUACCAAACCCUUUUUUUAGUAAACACAAACCUUACAAUGGUAGGUCUACUGUGGUAUAUGGUACAGUAAGCAUUGCAUAUAUGCUUUUAGCACAGUAACUGUACUAAUGUGUUGUAUUCAGUUAAAGCACAGUAACACAAACCAUUGCCAUGGUUUAAACACAGUCACUGUAGUUUAGCCUUUUAAUUUGUAAUAAAAGCAGCGCUAUCACAACACUUACCUAUCUUUUAAUACCUUUCAUGUCCAAUCAUUGUUUUUGUCUUGCAGUUACUCCAUAUCAGUCAUUUGAUGGACAGUGGGCAACCAAAUAAAAAAGAUGGCAAUUUCUGCAAAAUGAUUAAUUCUAUAGACUUGCUGCUCCACAAGUUGGAAAUACUUGGUGUCUUACCAAUGUUAUUUAUAACUUUGCAGAGAAUCCUGCACCACUCUACCAAAAUUUAAGGUUGCCCCUCUAGAGUCAGUUGCCCCACCACUAUGGUCAGAGACCCCACCGCUGCAGCCGAAGACCCCGCCUCUCCAGUCAGCGACCCCACCACUGUGGCCAGAGACCCUGCCAUUACCAUCAUAGGACCCACCACUACAAUCAACCACCCUGUCACUACAGUCAGCGUUUCCGCAACUGUGGCCAGAGAGUCCACCACUACCAUCAGAGGCCCUGCGACUACUGUCAGCAACCCCGCAACUGCGGCCAGAGACCACAGCUGUGUGGCAAGAAGUUCCUGGGUGUCUGAGGAUGCUGUACAGUAGUAUGUGUCUGUUUAAAAACAUGCCAUUAUACAUAUCAAUACAGUAUUUGUCAUCAUAGAAAGUUAUUCUAUACAUUUUGUUUAACACUUUAGUUUGUCUUAUUCUUGAAGGUCUGUUGUUGUCAAAAUGUAUUGAUAUUUAGAUAUAAAAAUCAGGAAAAAAAAGUUUUGUUGUCAACACAUCUACACAUGUUGUUGUUACACUAAUGUGUGGUGAAUACUAUGUAUUAAAGAUGUUUAUAUACAAAAUUUUAUAAAUAAGUUCUUGUGAUUUUUAUUUCAUAAUUGAUUUGGAUAAAAAGGAAAUACAAAUUUCCUUCUCCUAGAAAUGAAUAUUUAAGACAAUAAUGUGCUACAUACUACCUACAUGAACUCUGAACCUUGUUGUUAUAUUGAGUGGCCUGGUAAACAAUUAAGUUUUACAUGUCUACUGAAUGUUUACAUGGUUGUCUUUAUUUACCGUCAUCUCUGUACUCUUGAUUUUGUUCUACAGAUCAUACUAAUAAAAUAAAUGAUGAAACCUAUUUUA